rnacentral:tRNA from 1 species
GGGAGAGGUUGGCAGGCUGGUGCCGCCCCGGGACUUCAAAUCCCGCGGGAGGUCCCGCGAGGGGUCUCCGGAGGGUUCGAUUCCCUCCCUCUCCCG